rnacentral:lncRNA from 12 species
UCCCAAACCCCCGAGGGGGGUGGGGCCUCACCCGGCCGCUGCCUCCGGCUCCGUUUGGGGCAUUUUCCUCAAAUUCCUCAAUUUUCCCAGCUCCGGGACCCAAAUCGGGAUUUUUCUUCCUUUUUCUCCCUUUAUCCUUCUUUUUUCCAUUAUUUUUCGCUUCUAUUUUCUCCUCUAAAUCCUCUUUGAUUUUCUCCCUUUUUUUCACUCUUCUAUUCUCUUCUAUUUUUUCUAUUAUUUUUCUCUUCUAUUUUCUCUUUGUUCUAUUUUCUGCCUUUUUUUCCUGGUUUUUUUUCUCUCUUCUCUCUGCUCCUUCCCUGCCCAACUGCCGCCAUUUUACCAAAAAGUCCUUUAUCCCCCCAGAUGGGGUCACUGCGAAGAAAAACUUUCCUCUCCCUGCCGACUCCAUCUUCACUCUUCAUUUUUCCUGCUCUUGCCUCAAAAUUGGCUCCUCUCAAUCCAUCCUGAGCCUGAAAAUGCCGCAUUUCACCCCAAACCGGCCGCCCCAUCUGCGCUGCCCGGCCCGGCCCCACUUGGGGACAAAACGACAUUUUUUAAGCUUUAGGAGCUUUUUAAAAAUUAAAUUUAAGAGCUUUUUUUUAGCAGAAAACAGCGUAUCAAGCGCGUUUUCUUUCUUUCUUUCAAUUAAAGCAGCUUAAAAAGCUCUUUUUAAAUUCAAACCGCCCCAGCUCGCUCCGGCUUUUAUAUCAAAUUAUGAUAUUUUUUAAGAAUUAAAGAGCUGCGAGAGCUGCGAUUUCUCCCAGAAAUCGGCUUUGAAAGCAGCGAUUUCUUAAAAACCAGCAUCAAAUGCUUUGGUUUAAAUAAAACCCAGCUUUAAGAGCUUUUUUUAAGGGUUUUGAUUGGUUUUUUUCAAUUAAAAAUGCCCCGGCUCGCCCCGGCUUUUCCCGUUAGUGGAAUCGCCGCAAUUUAAGGAUUUUUAUUGAAAUCAAGCAGCUUUAAGAGCUCAGUUUUCCUUAAAGGAAACACCUUUUGUCUUUAUUUUUAAAUAAAGACUUAGGAGCCGCUUUUACGAAAUAAAGCAGCCUUAGGAGCUCUUGCUAUAAAAUAUCGCAGCUUUAAGAGCUUUCCGUAGGCAGUAAAGCCAUUAUUGGAGCUCUGGAUAGAAAAUAAAGCCAUUUUAGGAGCUUUUUUGGAUAAAAUCGAGCAGCUUUAGGAGCUUUGUGCUCAGGAUCGAGCGGUUUUGGGCCAAAUUCGGGCGGGAUCGGGGCUGGCUCUCGGCCGGGCGCUGCGGCCGCGGGGCCCUGCCUUAUAAAGGGCCCGGCGCCGCCCCCGCGGGGGCGACAAAAUAGUCCCCAAAAUCGCCAAAAAAGGGCAGAACCCCCCCAAAAAUCCACCGCCCCUAGUGUGAAAAACCCUCUUGUCUCAUUAUUUCCCCUUUUUUACCUUUUU